rnacentral:tRNA from 1 species
GGUAAUAUAGGUUAAAUAAUUUAAAACUAAAAAGUUUAUUUCUUUUAGAUAACGGGGAGUUUAUUGCUG